rnacentral:tRNA from 1 species
GCGGGUGUAGUUCAAUGGUAGAACUUCAGCCUUCCAAGCUGAUAGCGUGGGUUCGAUUCCAUCACCCGCUCCA